CAGGAUGAACGCUGGCGGCGUGCUUAACACAUGCAAGUCGAACGGGAAUGCCACGCUGAUGCGAUUUCGGUCAAAUCAUGUGGCAUUCGAGUGGCGGACGGGUGAGUAACGCGUGGGUAACCUGCCUUACACAGGGGGAUAACACCUGGAAACAGGUGCUAAUACCGCAUAAGCGCACAGGGCCGCAUGGCCCGGUGUGAAAAACUCCGGUGGUGUAAGAUGGACCCGCGUCUGAUUAGCUUGUUGGCGGGGUAGGGGCCCACCAAGGCGACGAUCAGUAGCCGGCCUGAGAGGGUGGACGGCCACAUUGGGACUGAGACACGGCCCAAACUCCUACGGGAGGCAGCAGUGGGGGAUAUUGGACAAUGGGGGAAACCCUGAUCCAGCGACGCCGCGUGAGUGAAGAAGUAUUUCGGUAUGUAAAGCUCUGUCAGCAGGGAAGAAAGAAAUGACGGUACCUGACCAAGAAGCCCCGGCUAACUACGUGCCAGCAGCCGCGGUAAUACGUAGG
rnacentral:rRNA from 1 species